GACGGAGGGUGCUAGCGUUGUUCGGAAUCACUGGGCGUAAAGGGCGCGUAGGCGGCCUGGUAAGUCAGAUGUGAAAGCCCGGGGCUCAACCCCGGAAUUGCAUUUGAGACUCCAUGGCUCGAGGUCGGGAGAGGUGAGUGGAAUACCCAGUGUAGAGGUGAAAUUCGUAGAUAUUGGGUAGAACACCGGUGGCGAAGGCGGCUCUCUGGUUCGAUUCUGACGCUCAGGCACGAAAGCGUGGGGAGCAAACAGG
rnacentral:rRNA from 1 species